rnacentral:lncRNA from 1 species
UAUUUAGCAUUGUUUUAUAAACUGGGGAAACUGAAGUAUGGAACUGCUUGACUGAAAGUCCUGGGUGCUGCAGGACACAAGGUGCGUGCAGCUCCUCUGCUCACUUGCAAACACGUCAGCUCGUGGCUCUUCCCAGCUCGUCCUCUUCUGGAGGAAAACACCAGUGUAAACCCUUGCUUUUCCUCUCCCCUUCUCCUAUGCUGAAGUAAUCAUGUUCCCAAAGGAAGGUCCAUUAAUUUAUGGCCCCAAGUUCCUGUGCUGGCUCUUUUAUGGGAAGCAGUUAAUGACCUUAGUCUCUGUGAAUCACACACUUGGUCAGAAAGGCCCUUCAGAGAGGUGUUUGAGGAACACGCAGAUGUUCCUUGAAUAAUGCCUUUUUUUUUUUUUUUUAAGUGAUAAAAUACAGCAGGUUAUGAUAAAAAGGAGGAAACUGCUUUUUUUUUUUUUUUUUUUUUUAAACUUUCCCCUCCCCUCCUGGCCUCUGUAAAAAGCACAGCCUGCAUCUAUGUAACUAAUCAGAUUUUCUUGCUGAUUGGACCCUAAAUAAUUACUGCAUCUUUGGCUUCCUAAUAGCUGGGCUGUUAAGAACAGAAGAGGCUCUAUUAGGAGACAGAGACGCAAUUGGGAGCAUCACAGUGCUGGAUUGGUGUUAAUCAGACCAGGCUGGGGACCAGCACGCUGUCCUGGGCAGCACGUGUUGCUGAGGAGGGGAAGCAUCUCUCAGCUGAGAGAAUAAAUGAUGAGCUGUUUUCUCUUCUUGUAACAGCACAACAAAGCGCUGCCAGGAGCCUGGUGCGUCUGAGGAGCCCUGCAAUAAUGAACAGGAAAAUGAAGCCUAGUUCUUGUGAACAAUCUUGUGUGCUAAACAGCCACAAUAGCGAGAUGUUGAGAUCAUUAGGAUGAAUGCACGUUGCUCAUCGGUCUGAAUCACCACAGCCCUGGGUGUGUGCUUCAGUAUCAUCUGUAUCCACUGGUAUGCAGGAGUCGCAUGCAGAGACAAUUUCUUUGCCAUGCCUGGUUGGUAGGUGUUUGACUUGGAGGUAUGAUAGUGGUGGCAGGAGGAUUCUCUCUGCUAGUCCUAUUUUCUGACUGGGCUUGUGCAGCCACUGCUCUCAAACGAUCCUCAUGAUGAUGUGGCAGUUUCCCUUAACAAUAGUGAUCCUAUUCUGAAAGGUGA